UCUGCCUUAUCGGCAAGCGGUCUCGUUAAAGUGCCCAACUUAAUGCUGGCAACUAACGACAAGGGUUGCGCUCGUUGCGGGACUUAACCCAACAUCUCACGACACGAGCUGACGACAGCCAUGCAGCACCUGUCACCACGUCCCCGAAGGGAACUCCGACUUUCACCGGAUAGCGUGGGAUGUCAAGCCCAGGUAAGGUUUUUCGCGUUGCAUCGAAUUAAACCACAUACUCCACCGCUUGUGCGGGCCCCCGUCAAUUUCUUUGAGUUUUAAUCUUGCGACCGUAAUCCCCAGGCGGGAUACUUAAUGCGUUAGCGACGACACCGAGAGGGUAAGAACUCCCGACAUCUAGUAUCCAUCGUUUACGGCGUGGACUAC
rnacentral:misc_RNA from 1 species